GGUCGAUGAUGACAAGUAAAAGGUCUGAGGGCACAGGGAAUUGCACUCCCUGACCCCUUGGCUCCCAGCACUCCCUGUUCGGUCACGCUGCAGCAGAGCUGUGAUGGAGGGAGGGACUGCUGACAGUUUGGGAUUAAUUCAGUCCCAGUUCUCCACAGUGAAGGGAGUUGUGGCACUGGAUGUCGUCCAACAGAACUGCUUAAGAGGAGCUCGGGGUGCUGGGGUGUCUUCAUUUGUUGUGUGUGAUCUAAAGUUUUCAAGCUGAGACC
rnacentral:snoRNA from 1 species